CAUGAACUAGGGUUUAGCUAGGUCAAACCUCAAGUCAAACAACAACCAAACCUCAAACCAAAUGAGUAACAAACCAUCAAUGCCUUAAGCCAAGCUAGAGUUCAUAACCUCUCAAAUUAAACCACAAGAUUCACCAAACUUCAAGAUUGAGAAACUAGGAUUUGAGCAAUGAAUGAACACUAUGAUGCAAUCUCCUAGGUCUCAAGCACCAACUGUCUCUGAUUAGGAUUUUGUACCUUUGAUUACCAUGAUGAGCUCUCCACAAUGAUUUUAGCAUCACAACUCCUAAGGCUUAAUUUUCAAACAAACUCUAGGUCUUUGUCAAUUAAAAUCGACCUCAAACUUUUGAAUCUAUGAUGAUGUUAGUGCACUAGAUGAUAUGGAUAUUCCUGAAUGCAGAUGAACCUUAAACCAAAAUGUUAGAUGAAAAUGAAAAGGAGAGGGAAAAUUUUGGGGUAUGAUAGUGGUGUGGUGUGAAUGUAAUUCUUUAUGUCAAAGCAAAACUUUCUAUAGAGUUUGUCGUUGUCGAAAUACUAUGUGUGUCGAAUUGUAUAGUUGUCGAAAUAUCGAUAGAAUUUUAGACUUAGCUUUAUUUGUUAUUUUAGAUGAGUUAGUUAGGUUAGUUGCAGAUUGUUUGGCGUGCAAGCAAUCUCAACCUAUAAAUAGGGAGAUCCCAUAUCAUUGAUUGUAACACAAAACAAUGAAUUCAGUUGCAUAGUUGAAUAAAAUUUUAGUGUGAAAAGCAGAGAAGUUUCUCUGCAUAAAUACUUCUUCUCAUUCUUUUCUCAAAAGUCCUAAUUUCCCUUUCUUCCCCAAUUCAUAUUUUCUUCUUCAAUAAUCAUUGUGUAGUAAAAUAAUCUUGCAACCAAGAUUGGUUGAUUCACUCAAGUAAAGAGUGAAGAACGAGAGGACUAAUCAAUUAGAAAGAUCGAUUCUUGUUUAUCAAAAUUUGGUUCGAAAUUCUUCGAGAAAUUCCACAUUGAGAGUUUAGUUAAUUUCCAACAUGAAUAAAUGCACUAAUAAAUAUAAACUAAUCGAUAGCAAAACAAAAGUGAAAAAAAAAUCAAACUUUAAAUAUUUAAUGGAAAUAAUAACAAGAAGAAGAGAAAAAAAAUUUAUGUUGCUCCUUUAGAGAAAUAAUGAC
rnacentral:lncRNA from 1 species